AACGAACGCUGGCGGCAUGCCUAAUACAUGCAAGUCGAACGAUCUCUUCGGAGAUAGUGGCGCACGGGUGCGUAACGCGUGGGAAUCUGCCCUUGGGUUCGGAAUAACAGCGGGAAACUGCUGCUAAUACCGGAUGAUGACGAAAGUCCAAAGAUUUAUCGCCCAGGGAUGGGCCCGCGUAGGAUUAGCUAGUUGGUGGGGUAAAGGCCUACCAAGGCGACGAUCCGUAGCUGGUCUGAGAGGAUGAUCAGCCACACUGGGACUGAGACACGGCCCAGACUCCUGCGGGAGGCAGCAGUAGGGAAUAUUGGACAAUGGGGGCAACCCUGAUCCAGCACUGCCGCGUGAGUGAUGAAGGCCUUAGGGUUGUAAUGCUCUUUUACCAGAGCUGAUAAUGACAGUAUCUGGGGAAUAAGCCCCGGCUAACUCCGUGCCAGCCGCCGCGGUAA
rnacentral:rRNA from 1 species